rnacentral:rRNA from 1 species
UACAGAGGGUGCAAGCGUUUGUUCGGAAUCAUUGGGGCGUAAAAGGGCGUGUAGGCGGUCUGUUAAGUCAUGUGUGAAAUCCCUCGGCUCAACCGGGGAACGACGCAUGAAAACUGACAAGCUAGAGUACCAAAGAGGGGGGGUGGAAUUCCCGGUGUAGCGGUGAAAUGCGUAGAUAUCGGGGAGGAACACCGGUGGCGAAGGCGGCCCCCUGGUUGGAUACUGGACGCUGAGACGCGAAAGCGUGGGGAGCAAAC